AAAGGGUGCGUAGGCGGUUUAUUAAGUCAGUGGUGAAAGACGGUCGCUCAACGAUUGCAGUGCCAUUGAUACUGGUAGACUUGAGUGAGAUUGAGGUAGCUGGAAUGGAUAGUGUAGCGGUGAAAUGCAUAGAUAUUAUCCAGAACACCAAUUGCGUAGGCAAGUUACUAAGUCUCAACUGACGCUGAGGCACGAAAGUGUGGGUAUCAAACAGGAUUAGAUACCCCUGU
rnacentral:rRNA from 1 species